AUGGAGGUUAACUACGCAGAAGCCGGCCAGGUUGUUGCCACCAGCAGAAGCGCGAUGCUGAAGCCGGCGUACGCCGCGCCGCACCCGCUGGCCGGCGGCAAGGUCCAGCUGACCGUCUUCGACCGCGCCGCCAUCGACACCUACGUCCCCAUCGUGCUCGCCUACCCCGCCCCGGCGCCGUCCAACCAGGCGCUCAAGGAGGGCCUCCUCCGGGCCAUCGCGCCCUACCCUCACCUGCUGGGCCGCUUCGCCCUCGACGGCCACGGCCGCCGCGUCCUCCACCUCAACAACGAGGGCGUGCUCGUCAUCGAGGCCGACGUCCCGGCCGACAUGGCCGACGUGCUCGCCGCCGGCGGCAUGGCCACGGACGUCGCCGGCUUUUACCCUACGGUGCCGGAGGAGAGCGUUGGACCAGCGCUGCUGCAGGUCAAGCUCAGCCGCUACAGGUGCGGCGGCCUCCUGCUCGGCGUGAUAUGCCACCACCACAUCGCCGACGGCCACGCCGCGAGCACUUUCUACGGCGCGUGGGCGACCGCGGUGCGCGAGGGCAAGGGCUUCACCGUGCCCUCCCCUUUCAUAGACCGCGCGGCCACCGCCGUGCCUGGCAGCACGCCGAAGCCAGUGUUCGACCACCGGUCCAUCGAGUUCAAGGCAGGAGAAGGCAGCGCCACCAGCCAGCCCCAUGCCGUUCUCCCCAUGGACAAGAUCAGGAACAUCAAGGUGCACUUCCCGGCAGAGUUCAUCGCGGAGCUCAGGUCCCGCGUGGGCGCACGCUGCAGCACGUUCCAGUGCCUGCUGGCGCACGUGUGGAAGACGGUCACGGCGGCGCGGGGGCUGAGCCCGGAGGAGUUCACGCAGGUGAGGGUGGCCGUGAACUGCAGGGGCAGGGCCAACCCACCCGUGCCAAUGGACUUCUUCGGCAACAUGGUGCUCUGGGCGUUCCCGAGGCUCCAGGUGCGGGACGUGCUGGGCUUGAGCUACGGCGGCGUGGUCGGCGCCAUCCGCGACGCCGCGGCGCGCGUCGACGAGGAGUACAUCCAGUCGUACGUGGACUUCGGCGGGGUGGCGCACGCGAACGGGGAGGAGCUCGCGGCGACGUCAACUUUCGGGACGAUGCUCUGCCCGGACAUCGAGGUGGACAGCUGGCUGGGGUUCAGGUUCCACCAGCUCGACUUUGGGACCGGGCCGCCCUCCGUGUUCCUGCCGCCGGGGUUGCCGGUCGAGGGGCUGAUGGUCUUCGUGCCGUCGCGCACGGUGAAGGGCAGCGUCGACCUCUUCAUGGCCCUCGCGGAGGAUCACGUCGCGGCGUUCAAGAAGAUUUGCUACUCCCUGGAUAUUCUCCCGUCGAGGAUGUAA
rnacentral:rRNA from 1 species